rnacentral:lncRNA from 1 species
CUGGGAGUGGCAGUUGGGUCUUGUGACUAGCACUUCCUUCCUGCUGGGUGUGGCAGUGGGGUCUUCUGACUAGCACUUCCUUCCUGCCAUGGGGACUUGCUGGCUGGUGUUGGAGGAGAGAGGAGCUUCUUCAGCCGAGUCUGGUGUGGUGUGCCUCUUCUUGAUUCAGCCCGAAGACACAGGCUUCUGAAGGGAAGAUAGCUUAGCACCCUCCUGCACUUGAAAAAGAGAAUUUGGUUCAAUGAGUUCUGUAGGAGAGGUGUUCUGAGUACCCGAAGAGCCCUGAGAAUUUUAUCAUCAUCAUCAUCAUCAUCAUCAUCAUCAUCAUCAUCAUCAUCAUCAUCAUCAUCAUCAUCAUCUCCAGAAUGCUGCCUUCCUUACAAUUUUACUUCUUUGAUGAUGGCAGAGCCAGCACUGGCCAAAGGUAGAUCUGGAACAGAAAGCAGCCUGGGAGAACAAGUGAUAAAGAGAAGAAUGAUCCAAUCCUCAUCUGUUUCUCAAACUGGUGUGCACAGCACUUUUGUAGCUUUGUUGCUAAAGAGGAAGAGAAAUUGUACCAAGG